GGGUAAUAUUUUGAGGUUAGAGUGGGUUUUGAGGGGUUUGUGGGUAAUAUUGUGGGUUUUGAGGGUUUAUGGGUAAUAUUUUGAGGCUAUAGAGCGAGUUCUGAGGGGAUUGUGGGUAAUUUUUGGGGUCAGAGUGUAGGAGGGGCUUCCUCUUCACACUCGGGGCAAUAAUGGCUUCCUAGAAAAAAAAAUAUAUUGUUUGAGGAAAAUGUGUGAAAAUAUUAAGUUUGUAAAUAUUAAUGAGGGAAAUAUUUUUGACUGGGAUUUUUAAAUAGAAAGAAAUUAAUUGUUUGUGAGGAAAAUGUGUGAAAUAAAAUGAAGUUUGUAAAUAUUAAUGAAGGAAGAUGAGGAAAAAUAUCUGUUUAUGAGGAAAAUAAAUGAAGUUUGUAAAUAUUAAUGAGGAAAAAUAUGUUUAUGAGGAAAAUGUGUGGAAAUAAAAUGAAGUUUGUAAAUAUUAAUGAGGAAAAAUGAGGAAAAAUAUCUGUUUAUGAGGAAAAUGUGUGGAAAAAAUGAAGUUUGUAAAUAUUAAUGAGGAAAAAUGAGGAAAAAUAUCUGUUUAUGAGGAAAAUGUG